UAACUGGGCGUUAAGUUGCAGGGUAUAGACCCGAAACCCGGUGAUCUAGCCAUGGGCAGGUUGAAGGUUGGGUAACACUAACUGGAGGACCGAACCGACUAAUGUUGAAAAAUUAGCGGAUGACUUGUGGCUGGGGGUGAAAGGCCAAUCAAACCGGGAGAUAGCUGGUUCUCCCCGAAAGCUAUUUAGGUAGCGCCUCGUGAACUCAUCUUCGGGGGUAGAGCACUGUUUCGGCUAGGGGGUCAUCCCGACUUACCAACCCGAUGCAAACUACGAAUACCGAAGAAUGUUAUCACGGGAGACACACGGCGGGUGCUAACGUCCGUCGUGAAGAGGGAAACAACCCAGACCGCCAGCUAAGGUCCCAAAGUCAUGGUUAAGUGGGAAACGAUGUGGGAAGGCACAGACAGCCAGGAUGUUGGCUUAGAAGCAGCCAUCAUUUAAAGAAAGCGUAAUAGCUCACUGGUCGAGUCGGCCUGCGCGGAAGAUGUAACGGGGCUAAACCAUGCACCGAAGCUGCGGCAGCGACACUAUGUGUUGUUGGGUAGGGGAGCGUUCUGUAAGCCUGCGAAGGUGACCUGUGAGGGUUGCUGGAGGUAUCAGAAGUGCGAAUGCUGACAUAAGUAACGAUAAAGCGGGUGAAAAGCCCGCUCGCCGGAAGACCAAGGGUUCCUGUCCAACGUUAAUCGGGGCAGGGUGAGUCGACCCCUAAGGCGAGGCCGAAAGGCGUAGUCGAUGGGAAACAGGUUAAUAUUCCUGUACUUGGUGUUACUGCGAAGGGGGGACGGAGAAGGCUAUGUUAGCCGGGCGACGGUUGUCCCGGUUUAAGCAUGUAGGCUGAUUGUCCAGGCAAAUCCGGAUAAUCAAGGCUGAGGUGUGAUGACGAGGCACUACGGUGCUGAAGUAACAAAUGCCCUGCUUCCAGGAAAAGCCUCUAAGCAUCAGGUAACAUCAAAUCGUACCCCAAACCGACACAGGUGGUCAGGUAGAGAAUACCAAGGCGCUUGAGAGAACUCGGGUGAAGGAACUAGGCAAAAUGGUGCCGUAACUUCGGGAGAAGGCACGCUGGUGUGUAGGUGAAGUCCCUGCGGAUGGAGCUGAGACCAGUCGAAGAUACCAGCUGGCUGCAACUGUUUAUUAAAAACACAGCACUGUGCAAACACGAAAGUGGACGUAUACGGUGUGACGCCUGCCCGGUGCCGGAAGGUUAAUUGAUGGGGUUAUCCGUAAGGAGAAGCUCUUGAUCGAAGCCCCGGUAAACGGCGGCCGUAACUAUAACGGUCCUAAGGUAGCGAAAUUCCUUGUCGGGU
rnacentral:rRNA from 1 species